rnacentral:rRNA from 1 species
GGCCUUGGGUCUCGGUCCGCCUCAAACGAGGUGCGUACCAGGGACCUAGGGCCAUCCUCGGGGAAAACAUAUCUGUCAUUAAGUUGAUGGGUAUGGGAUCCCCGUCAUUUACUGUGAGCAAAUUAGAGUGUUUAAAGCAAGCUUUGGCUUGAAUACAUUAGCAUGGAAUAAUGGAAUAGGACGUUCGAUCUUAUUUUGUUGGUUUCUAGGAUUGACGUA